rnacentral:rRNA from 1 species
UGCAGUCGAACGGCAGCACGAGAGAGCUUGCUCUCUUGGUGGCGAGUGGCGGACGGGUGAGGAAUACAUCGGAAUCUACCUUUUGGUGGGGGAUAACGUAGGGAAACUUACGCUAAUACCGCAUACGCCCUUCGGGGGAAAGCCGGGGACCUUCGGGCCUGGCGCUGAUAGAUGAGCCGAUGUCGGAUUAGCUAGUUGGUGAGGUAAUGGCUCACCAAGGCGACGAUCCGUAGCUGGUCUGAGAGGAUGAUCAGCCACACUGGAACUGAGACACGGUCCAGACUCCUACGGGAGGCAGCAGUGGGGAAUAUUGGACAAUGGGCGCAAGCCUGAUCCAGCCAUACCGCGUGGGUGAAGAAGGCCUUCGGGUUGUAAAGCCCUUUUGUUGGGAAAGAAAAGCGAUCGGUUAAUACCCGGUUGUUCUGACGGUACCCAAAGAAUAAGCACCGGCUAACUUCGUGCCAGCAGCCGCGGUAAUACGAAGGGUGCAAGCGUUACUCGGAAUUACUGGGCGUAAAGCGUGCGUAGGUGGUGGUUUAAGUCCGUUGUGAAAGCCCUGGGCUCAACCUGGGAAUUGCAGUGGAUACUGGGUCACUAGAGUGUGGUAGAGGAUAGUGGAAUUUCCGGUGUAGCAGUGAAAUGCGUAGAGAUCGGAAGGAACAUCUGUGGCGAAGGCGACUAUCUGGGCCAACACUGACACUGAGGCACGAAAGCGUGGGGAGCAAACAGGAUUAGAUACCCU